CUAACCUUGAACACACUUGCAGAUCUUUCUUCAUAAAUCUUCUGGAAUGCGACUUUUAUCUACAGAAGACGUAUCGGUCUUUGAAGGAAUAGUAGGAGAGACAAAGAUUCCAAGAACACGAUUAUCAAUUGAUGAUGUAUUGAUAUUUCAAGAAGUAGUAAAAGAAAGGAAGGCCUCAAGAGGCACUGCACACACAGUGUGUGACACAAGCUCUCAAGAUAAUAUAAUUGCGCGCCUGGACUUUUACACAUCGCGUCUGUCAGCUGGGUGGGUGAAAGAGACAACUUUCAAAAAAUGUAGCCAAGGAGUAAGAAAAGACAGGUACUUUACCGAUCCUAUUAGUCAUCUCGUAUUUCGUACAAAGAAGUCCGCACAUCAACACUUUUGGACCCAAAAAAAUCAUAAGGAUGGUACUUGGCCGACACGAAGUGUUACGAAGAAGUACUUUUCCGAUAAGUGCAAAGACUUGCUUGAUAAAAAGGGAUUCGAUCAUCAAUAUGAGCCACAAGGAGAGAGGCCCGAAACUUCGGGUACUAGCUAGAGGCAACGAGGUAAUGACAUCCUCGCAAGCUAGGAUGCUACUAGCAAGCAAUCGAGGCCAAGAAGAAUAUCGAGAAAUAUAUAGAGGAAACCAAAGUAUUUAAUGGCGGUAUAGUUUUUCCUGAGCAAAACAAAAUACCGUCAUUGUGAAGCUAUUCGGUUUUUUCCAUCUUGUGUUCUGAACUUGAUAUGGUGGUUUUGUUGAGAAACUUAUACUGAUGGGAUGGUGUUAGGAGGCUUUGGUCCCAUAGUCCGACUCUAUGCAUGGAGUCCAAAACAUCUUCUGUUUUCGCCAAAUUUUUUUACUGUACUGUUGUCGGAUUCUACUGUUCCUGCUAUGUGAGAUGGAGUAAUCGAGUUUUCAAAA